UACGUAGGGGGCAAGCGUUGUCCGGAUUUAUUGGGCGUAAAGAGCGUGUAGGCGGCUUGGUAGGUCUCGCGUCAAAACCUGAGGCUCAACCUCAGUUCGCGUGGGAAACCACCUAGCUAGAGUCCGGAAGAGGAGAACGGAAUUCCCAGUGUAGCGGUGAAAUGCGCAGAUAUUGGGAAGAACACCAGUGGCGAAGGCGGCCCACUGGUCCGGUACUGACGCUGAGGUGCGAAAGCGUGGGGAGCAAACAGG
rnacentral:rRNA from 1 species